rnacentral:lncRNA from 1 species
GGCCGUUGAUCACCAACUGAGAUCGCAUAUAAACUAGGCCUUUCGUUGUUGCCCUAAUUCACUUUGGUCUCUAAUUUUCAUGAGCCUUUUGGAAUUCUCUCUGUAAGUCUGGUGUGUGCUCUUUGUCUUUUCUUAUAAUCUUCAGCCACUAAUUAGAUGAUUUUCUUCUAGUUUUUUGAGUGAAAAGUGAGUCUAUGUGAUUACGUGUGAGAGAAGAGUGAGUAGUUCUUUGUUGAUGACUUCUAAUCAAAGAAGCAGCGUUGACAAGCAUUUAAAGGUCUGGGUUUGUUGACUUUUGGUUUGCAAAAAAGGGUACAAUGUUCUAAGCCAUAUAUCAUUGAUUCUGAGAUGCCUACGAUUGUGUCUUGAGUAGUAAUUUUUUGGGAAAAUAGUUUGUGCUUUGUUUAUUUGAUUUCUUGGUCUAAUACAUUCCAAUUAAUGUGUUUGAGAUAUUGUAUUUUUUUUUAAUAUUUACAUACACUCCUGUGUUAAUCCAAUGAGGACGGGUUUGUUACACGUUCCAAAUGACAUUGUAAAACACCAUCAAUAAAAUUUGAGUUUUUUUUCUUAA